rnacentral:rRNA from 1 species
GCACAAGCGGUGGAGUAUGUGGUUUAAUUCGAUGCAACGACGAAGAACCUUACCUGGUCUUGACAUCCCGGAGACCCUUAGGAACUAGGGGUGCUUCCAUCUGGAAGAAUCUGGAGACAGGUGCUGCAUGGCUGUCGUCAGCUCGUGUCGUGAGAUGUUGGGUUAAGUCCCGCAACGAGCGCAACCCUUGCCUUUAGUUGCCAGCAGUUCGGCUGGGCACUCUAAAGGGACUGCCGGUGUUAAACCGGAGGAAGGUGGGGAUGACGUCAAGUCCUCAUGGCCUUUAUGACCAGGGCUACACACGUACUACAAUGGCCGAUACAAAGGGCAGCGACACUGCGAGGUGAAGCCAAUCCCGUAAAAUCGGUCUCAGUCCGGAUUGGAGUCUGCAACUCGACUCCAUGAAGUUGGAAUCGCUAGUAAUCGUGGAUCAGCAUGCCACGGUGAAUACGUUCCCGGGCCUU